rnacentral:rRNA from 1 species
GAACGCUAGCGGCAGGCUUAACACAUGCAAGUCGAGGGGUAUGCCGAUUUAUCGGCAGAGACCGGCGCACGGGUGCGUAACGCGUAUGCAAUCUACCUUCACAGAGGGAUAGCCCAGAGAAAUUUGGAUUAAUACCUCAUAGUAUAGCAGUUUCGCAUGAAACCACUAUUAAAGUUCCAACGGUGAAAGAUGAGCAUGCGUCCCAUUAGCUAGAUGGUAAGGUAACGGCUUACCAUGGCUACGAUGGGUAGGGGUCCUGAGAGGGAGAUCCCCCCACACUGGUACUGAGACACGGACCAGACUCCUACGGGAGGCAGCAGUGAGGAAUAUUGGUCAAUGGACGCAAGUCUGAACCAGCCAUGCCGCGUGCAGGAUGACGGUCCUAUGGAUUGUAAACUGCUUUUGUACGAGAAGAAACAACAUUACGUGUAAUGUCUUGACGGUAUCGUAAGAAUAAGGAUCGGCUAACUCCGUG